UGAAACACGUUGAAAGUUAUAAGUACAUGAUGAUCGGUUUAAAGAGAGGGAUUUUCAAUGGGCUGAAAAAAAUCCUAAGCAAGAAUCAUGGAAAGCUAAACUGGAGUGCGGCUAAUUCCCGUCGGUUUCAUACCGUUAACAUGAUGAAGUGACAAACAGAAAUUUUUGUUUGUAAUUAGGGUGGUACCGCGAUAGAAUCUCGUCCCUGCA
rnacentral:ncRNA from 1 species